rnacentral:rRNA from 1 species
GACGAACGCUGGCGGCGUGCUUAACACAUGCAAGUCGAACGCUGAAGCUCAGCUUUUGUUGGGUGGAUGAGUGGCGAACGGGUGAGUAACACGUGAGUAACCUGCCUCCUUCUUUGGGAUAACGCCCGGAAACGGGUGCUAAUACUGGAUAUUCACUGGUCUUCGCAUGGGGGUUGGUGGAAAGGGUUUUUCUGGUGGGGGAUGGGCUCGCGGCCUAUCAGCUUGUUGGUGGGGUGAUGGCCUACCAAGGCUUUGACGGGUAGCCGGCCUGAGAGGGUGACCGGUAACAUUGGGACUGAGAUACGGCCCAGACUCCUACGGGAGGCAGCAGUGGGGAAUAUUGCACAAUGGGCGCAAGCCUGAUGCAGCGACGCCGCGUGAGGGAUGGAGGCCUUCGGGUUGUGAACCUCUUUCGCUCAUGGUCAAGCCGCAACAAUGGUUGUGGUGAGGGUAGUGGGUAAAGAAGCGCCGGCUAACUACGU